UACAGAGGUCUCAAGCGUUGUUCGGAUUCAUUGGGCGUAAAGGGUGCGUAGGCGGCGCGGUAAGUCGGGUGUGAAAUUUCGAGGCUUAACUUCGAAACUGCAUUCGAUACUGCCGUGCUUGAGGACUGGAGAGGAGACUGGAAUUUACGGUGUAGCGGUGAAAUGCGUAGAUAUCGUAAGGAAGACCAGUGGCGAAGGCGGGUCUCUGGACAGUUCCUGACGCUGAGGCGCGAAAGCCAGGGGAGCAAACGGG
rnacentral:rRNA from 1 species